GCGAUAGUGAAGAAAUUAAAUGAAAUGGAUAUGCAAUUAAAUGGUUUAAUUGAAGAAUAGUCAAGAUUAAUUAAUUAGUUAAUUAAUUAUACGAAAGGUUCGUAUUAGGCUUUUAAGUUGGUUUUGGGUUUCGGGGCCCAAAAGUGUUUUGGUCCAUAAGGCCCAUUAUGUUUAAGUUGUAUGACAGCUAAAACAAAAUGGGCAAUAAGCCCAAUCACAACAUAUAGGCCGGCCAUGGUGAGGAGAUGGUGAAAGUUUGCUUAAUUGUAAGUUUGCCACUCACCAAAGAAAAGUGUUAUUAAAGCAACUUUAUAGCUAUUUUCUCAUUAGGGUUUUCUUUGAGGCAAAGAGGUGAAACAUUUUCAUUCUUUCUCUCUGCAAAGAGGCCGGCCACUUAGGAAGAUUAAUCUAGCAAUCUCUUCUUCCCUAAGUCAUCCAUUUUCAUCUUCACACUUAACCCUUGGUGUGGAGACUUAGAGACACUAAACUUUUGGUGUUUUGGAGAUCCUUUCCUUACAUCCACAAAGUCCAAAGGAGCACAAAAGGAGAAGGAAAUCACAAGCAAUAUCCAAGGAGCUAGGAGGUGACUUGAAGGCCCUCCACUUGGGUGAAUCCCUUGUGUAAACAAGGAUGAGCUUCAAGGGUAAAGAAACUCUAAAUCUUUACUUCUCUUUAAUGUUGUUAAAGAGUCUUUUGGUUCACCAUAUACUAGGCUUUGAAAGUCAUGGGUUUUAUGAAUUGUUUUUGAAUGCAUGCCUACUUUAAAGUGUUAAUAGCUUGCAUAUGUAUUCAAAUGUUCUUACAUGUUCUUAGCUAGGACAAAAUUUUUCUUUCAAGUGGUAUCAGAGCCUAGGCCUAGUUUAUGGUGAAUCCUUUUGGGUUUUGUGAUUAUCAUAAUAUGUGAUUUAAAUGUUGUAAAUGUUACAAGCUUUGUUCUUGCUUUUGAAUAUAAAUUUUGCUUGAAAAUUUAGCAUCUCAAAUGAUGUAGAUGUAUUUCAUUUAACCAUGAAUAUUGGAACUAAAAUUUGGUGCCAUGUAUGUUGGGAAAUUCGGCCAAAUCCAAAGGGUGAUUUUUUGGGUUCAUGUUUGUCUUGUUAAAAUGGUUUUAAAGUGACUUUUGGAACCCCUAAGUACCCUAGGAUAUUAGCCCUCUUUUGAGUGGUGAAAAAUUGAGUUUUGGUGAGUGAAAACAUUCAUGGAGCUAUUAUGAGUUUUCAUGAGUGUUCUUCAAUGUUCUUGAAGUUCUUGCCAAGAACAAAAAGUUUUGAAGUUUUGAUUCAAAAGUUUUAUGUUUUUCAUAAAGUUUUGGUUUAAUUUUGAUGGGUGAUGGUUAUUGGUGAAGCAUUAAUAUUGGCUUUAAUGUUUGACAAAACUCUUUAAUGUUUUACAAAACAUUUUCUUACAAACCAUCAAUUUCACCUUUUCCUCACCCACCAAAAUCAACUUGCAAAAACUUUUUAGAAAAUUUUUCAUUUCUUCUCAAAUGGCCGGCCACCCCCUAGUGGGGGUACUUUUGGGGCCUUUUGUGCAAUUACAUAAAGUUUUGAUACUUUUGUGUAUUUGCAUUUUGGCCCAAAAGUUUACGUUUUUACGUUAAGGCCCAAAAACUCUAAAGGACAAAUUGUUUUGAUCCUUUAAUGAUGUUUUUACAUUAUUAAAAUUUUGGGUUCUAGUUGUAAUUAUGAUCGGAUCAUAUUUAUAUAUAUUUUUACUUCAAAUUCACUCGUCUUUUCUUAGUUAGUUCCUUAUAUUUUUGAGCUAUUUACGUUAUUUUUGUAUUUAUAGGAUUUGUUUAUGCAAAGAAAAUAAAAAUGGCACAAAUGAGUUUUAAAUAAUAAAUUCGUCGAAAAUUGCUUUAGUCGUUCUCAUUCUGUCAUGGGUUAUUGGUAGAAUUGUGUCACGGAUUAUAGGUCAUGGAAGUUAGGCUAAAUUUAUUAGGUAUGCAUUAGAAAUUAUAUGAUAUAUCUAAAAUUGAAGUGUUUUGCAGUUGGUGAAUAAAGAAAAGAAACAAAAAGAAAUAAGCCUUUGCAGCUAGUGGAAAACGAGUGGGAUGCCAGAAAAUAAUAAGUGCAGUGGGGGAAUAAUGAAGAAAAAGGGCUGCACCUUGCAGCACUAGAGAAUAAAAAAAAAACCAAAGCUGCGUUUGGUGAGGGAAAAGCUGCCUCUUGGCAGCUCGGGAAAAGAAGAAGGGCUGCCUUUGGCAGCGUGAAAGAGAGGCGCGGGGACAGAGGCAGACGGACAGCAGUUGGGAAAGAAAAAGCUGCCCUUGGCAGCGCACGGGAAGAAGCAGGAGAAGGCUGUCUUGGAGCUGGAGAGAAGGCUGC
rnacentral:lncRNA from 1 species